UACGAUUUGGAAUUUAUUUCCGUAGAGA
rnacentral:piRNA from 1 species